UGAGAAUAUAUCGGCUUACAGUUUAAAGGUUUCAAGUGCUAAAGGAGUAGAAUGUUAACAUGUUUGUCUAGGGUUCAUACUGAUGUCUCCCGGGUUUAAACAAGUUUAUAAAGAUGUAAUCUAGGUGAUUAGUCUCUACUGGGUAAAACAAGGAAGGCUAAUACAAGGAUAUGUUUAUCAGCAUUUGGAUGGAGGAACUAUCUUAUAACCAGAAAGAAAUUAUUUGAAUAUGGAAUGAGUAAUUGAAUGCAGAAAUGACAGAAUAAUUUUCCACCUUACAACACCCAGGAAUGUGGUCUAUUAAACCUGUUAUUAUGAACAUUCCACAUCUUUUUCAAUGUGAAAUAAGAAAAACAACAAAUUUUCACCAAUUGUUUUCAAAAAUCACCUCUGAAAUGAUUGUUUUUGCCCCCUAGAUUUGGAAAUCUAUCUAGAAAUCCAGAUUGGCUUGCCAAGCAGCAAGUGGAUUAUUGUCAAUAAUCAUGGCAUUCAAUGAAUGUCAUGAUUAUUGACAAUAAUCAACUUCACCUGUCCAGGAACUGCAGCAACCUGCCAUGCAGUAAAAUGUCGCUAAUUAUCUUCACCACUUGCUGCUUGGCAAGCCAAUCUGGAUUUCUGGAUAGAUUUCCAAAACUAGGGGGCAUUUAAUUUAUGGUGGCAUUCUAAAUGCCUUCUAAAUGACCAUGUACCUAUGUAAUUGAGCAUUGUGGCAUUCUUUCUAAAUGCCUACUAAAUUACAAUAAACCUAUGUAAUUGAAGAGCACGGUAGCAUAACUGACUGCCUGUACAAGUGCAUUACAGUGCUCCAGCACCCAAAUAACUGCCAUUUCCUUAACAGUCCUACUACUGUUGCUGCCAACAAAAUAAAUUAAAAACUUCUACCUCCGUGAUUCAUAACCAGCAUCACAUUUGACAAUGGUGCCCAUUACCCUGAAGCAGAGCCUCACUCAAGCAUCACCUGGUGACUGCAAAGUAAAGUCAGAAGCUUUAGAAAAUGCUAAUCCUCCACCAAUCCUUGAAGUUUCUGCUAUCUACAUAAAGGAGGAGCCUGAGGAUGGAACUGAAGAAGUAUACAUCAAAGAGGAACCAUUAUUAUAUGGAAAUGAGUCAUGUUCAACUGCACAUCUCAGCC